AUACUUACUUUGACUGUGUCAAUAGGCGAUCAAUAAGACCCAUGGCCUAGGUUGGUGACCUCCAUUGCAGUUUGGAGGGGUGCCCGCUUAAGGUCGACCCAAGUGGUUGAGCCUACAUCAUAGUUUGUGGUAGUGGGGGUCUGCAUUCGCGUGGUCCCUAC
rnacentral:snRNA from 1 species